rnacentral:rRNA from 1 species
GUGAGGAAUCUUGCGCAAUGGGCGAAAGCCUGACGCAGCCAUGCCGCGUGAAUGAUGAAGGUCUUAGGAUUGUAAAAUUCUUUCACCGGGGACGAUAAUGACGGUACCCGGAGAAGAAGCUCCGGCUAACUUCGUGCCAGCAGCCGCGGUAAUACGAAGGGGGCUAGCGUUGCUCGGAAUUACUGGGCGUAAAGGGCGCGUAGGCGGACAGCUUAGUCAGAGGUGAAAGCCCAGGGCUCAACCUUGGAAUUGCCUUUGAUACUGGCUGUCUUGAGUACGGGAGAGGUGGGUGGAACUCCGAGUGUAGAGGUGAAAUUCGUAGAUAGUCGGAAGAACACCAGUGGCGAAGGCGACUCACUGGCCCGUUACUGACGCUGAGGCGCGAAAGCGUGGGGAGCAAACAGGAUUAGAUACCCCAGUAGUCC